UACAGAGGUCUCAAGCGUUGUUCGGAUUCAUUGGGCGUAAAGGGUGUGUAGGUGGCGCGCUAAGUCGGGUGUGAAAUUUCGGAGCUUAACUCCGAAACUGCAUUCGAUACUGGCGUGCUUGAGGACUGGAGAGGAGACUGGAAUUUACGGUGUAGCAGUGAAAUGCGUAGAUAUCGUAAGGAACACCGGUGGCGAAGGCGGCAUCCUGGACCGGUAUUGACGCUGAGGCGCGAAAGCCAGGGGAGCAAACGGG
rnacentral:rRNA from 1 species